rnacentral:tRNA from 1 species
GUCUGUGUGGCUUGGUUGGUUAAGCAUCUGACUCUUGAUUUGAGCUCAGGUCAUGAUCUCAGGGUUGUGAGAUCAAGUCCCACCUCAGGCU